UACGUAGGAUGCAAGCGUUGUCCGGAAUUAUUGGGCGUAAAGAGCGCGCAGGCGGUAUGACAAGUCAGAUGUGAAAGAGGCCGGCUUAACCGGCAAGGGUCAUUUGAAACUGUCAGACUAGAGUGCAGCAGAGGAUAGUGGAAUUCCCGGUGUAGUGGUGAAAUGCGUAGAUAUCGGGAGGAACACCAGUGGCGAAGGCAGGUCUCUGGGCCACUACUGACGCUGAGAAGCGAAAGCAUGGGGA
rnacentral:rRNA from 1 species